UCUAAAGUGGCAGAAUAGUGCAAUGAAUUUAAGAUUCAUAUAUAAAGUUAUAAUUUUCUUUAGAA
rnacentral:tRNA from 1 species